GACGAACGCUGGCGGCGUGCUUAACACAUGCAAGUCGAGCGGUAAGGCCCUUUCGGGGGUACGACGAGCGGCGAACGGGUGAGUAACACGUGGGUGACCUGCCCUCAGCUCUGGGAUAAGCCUGGGAAACCGGGUCUAAUACUGGAUAUGACUCCAUGACGCAUGUUGUGGGGUGGAAAGCCUUGUGCGGCUGAGGAUGGGCCCGCGGCCUAUCAGCUUGUUGGUGGGGUGAUGGCCUACCAAGGCGACGACGGGUAGCCGGCCUGAGAGGGCGACCGGCCACACUGGGACUGAGACACGGCCCAGACUCCUACGGGAGGCAGCAGUGGGGAAUCUUGCGCAAUGGGCGAAAGCCUGACGCAGCGACGCCGC
rnacentral:rRNA from 1 species